rnacentral:tRNA from 1 species
GGGCCCGUAGCUCAGUUGGCUAGAGCGCUUGCAUGGCAUGCAUGAGGUCAGGGGUUCGAGCCCCCUCGGGUCCACCA